rnacentral:rRNA from 1 species
UGGCGGACGGGUGAGUAACGCGUGGGUAACCUGCCUCAUACAGGGGGAUAACAGUUAGAAAUGACUGCUAAUACCGCAUAAGACCACAGCACCGCAUGGUGCAGGGGUAAAAACUCCGGUGGUAUGAGAUGGACCCGCGUCUGAUUAGGUAGUUGGUGGGGUAACGGCCUACCAAGCCGACGAUCAGUAGCCGACCUGAGAGGGUGCCGGCCACAUUGGGACUGAGACACGGCCCAA